AGCGCAGACGGUUUAUUAAGUCUGAUGUGAAAGCCCGGAGCUCAACUCCGGAAUGGCAUUGGAAACUGGUUAACUUGAGUGCAGUAGAGGUAAGUGGAACUCCAUGUGUAGCGGUGGAAUGCGUAGAUAUAUGGAAGAACACCAGUGGCGAAGGCGGCUUACUGGACUGCAACUGACGUUGAGGCUCGAAAGUGUGGAUAGCAAACA
rnacentral:rRNA from 1 species